CCUACGGUGGGCAGCAGUGGGGAAUAUUGGACAAUGGGCGAAAGCCUGAUCCAGCCAUGCCGCGUGUGUGAAGAAGGCCUUCGGGUUGUAAAGCACUUUCAGUGGGGAAGAAAGCCUUGGGGCUAAUACCCUCGAGGAAGGACAUCACCCACAGAAGAAGCACCGGCUAACUCCGUGCCAGCAGCCGCGGUAAUACGGAGGGUGCGAGCGUUAAUCGGAAUUACUGGGCGGAAAGCGCGCGUAGGCGGUCUGAUAAGCCGGUUGUGAAAGCCCCGGGCUCAACCUGGGAACGGCAUCCGGAACUGUCAGGCUAGAGUGCAGGAGAGGAAGGUAGAAUUCCCGGUGUAGCGGUGAAAUGCGUAGAGAUCGGGAGGAAUACCAGUGGCGAAGGCGGCCUUCUGGACUGACACUGACGCUGAGGUGCGAAAGCGUGGGUAGCAAACAGGAUUAGAUACCCUGGUAGUC
rnacentral:rRNA from 1 species